rnacentral:rRNA from 1 species
AAUGAACGCUGGCGGCGCGCCUAAUACAUGCAAGUCGAGCGAGAAGACGUAGCAAUACGUUUGUAAAGCGGCGAACGGGUGAGGAAUACAUGGGUAACCUACCCUCGAGUGGGGAAUAACUAGCCGAAAGGUUAGCUAAUACCGCGUACGCUCCUUGGACUUCGGUUCAGGGAGGAAAGCGAUACCGUGGGUAUCGCGCUCUUGGUUGGGCUCAUGUCCCAUCAGCUUGUUGGUGAGGUAACGGCUCACCAAGGCUUCGACGGGUAGCUGGUCUGAGAGGACGAUCAGCCACACUGGCACUGCGACACGGGCCAGACUCCUACGGGAGGCAGCAGUAAGGAAUAUUGCGCAAUGGGCGAAAGCCUGACGCAGCGACGCCGCGUGGGGGAUGAAGUACUUCGGAUUGUAAACCCCUUUCGGGAGGGAAGAUGGAACGAGCAAUCGUUCGGACGGUACCUCCAGAAGCAGCCACGGCUAACUUCGUGCCAGCAGCCGCCGUAAC